rnacentral:rRNA from 1 species
UACAGAGGUCUCAAGCGUUGUUCGGAUUCAUUGGGCGUAAAGGGUGCGUAGGUGGCGCCGUAAGUCAGGUGUGAAAUCUCGGGGCUCAACCCCGAAACUGCACUUGAUACUGCGGUGCUCGAGUACUGGAGAGGAGAUUGGAAUUUACGGUGUAGCAGUGAAAUGCGUAGAGAUCAUGAGGAAGACCAGUGGCGAGGGCGGGUCUC